UUUUUUUUUUUUUACCUCCAGAGCCAUAGACACAUCUCAGUUUAACCAUGAUAAUUAUUUUCAGUUUAUAAACGUUGUCUUUCUAAGCAAGAGAAGGGAGAGAAUGUUUUUUCCUUGGAGCUUCCUGCUUCUCCACAAUUUUACAGGUUGCUUUAGAAGUCUUGAGCCUUUGGUGCUUAGUCUAGCAAAGCAUAAUUUGAUGUUGCAGCAGAAACCCAUUUGCCUAUGAAUUUUUAAGGCCUCUCUCUCCUGACCCCCACCCAGCACCACUGUCUCAGAAUGAGUGACAGUUGAGUCUCAAAGCCUGACCACCAGGCAGAAGGAAGAAGAAACAGACCUCACUUGAGUUCUUUGCCAUAACUAGUUGCUGCUCCCAUACCUUGACUCUGUCUUUUUCAUUUUCUAUAUAUGCAGACAUAGCAAUUUAAUCUAACAUCUUCCUGCUGUCAUUUAACCCAGUAACCACUUGGCAACCUUGCAUGGUCAAUGGGAAGGUAAUUUCACCCUCUCCCUUCUCAAGAGAUCUCCCUUUCCUGGGGCCUUCCCGCCAAGGUGCUGAAAAUCAAAAUAAAUGAAGGUGGGGGGCAAGCUUGGCAGAAAUGGUUAUCUUGAUCAGUGAAUAUAUUUGAACUUUUGGUGUGUAGUGCAUGUGAAAGCCUUCUAAUAAAAUUUUUGUCUUUUCUUCCCUUCUUCUCCCUCAUUCCCCCCCCCCUUCUUCUUCUUAACUUUUCCCCCAUUCUUCCAUCUCUGGUGGAAACGCAAGGAGCUGAAUUGAGAUGGUCAUAUUCUACUCUCAGGCCCAAAGGAAGAAACUGAAUUUUGCUGGAUGGACUGACCCUUUCACUGCCAUAUUUACCAGAAAAGAAAAUGAUCUGUAUUUGUCUUCCAGAUAAACAACAGUAAUAAAAUGA